UGUGUUUUUUUUCAAAGAUCAAUAUCUUUGGUUUUCCAUUUCCUUCUCCAGCUCAAUUUACAGAUGAAGAACAGAGGCAAACAGGAUCAAGUGACUUGCCCAGGUCAUACAGGUCCUAAGUCUUCAGUUUUCAUGCAGAGGAAGAAAGGAAGGAAAGAAGCUGGAGUAGUUGCAAUGACAUUUUGGAAAGGCUUUGUUGAAUGAAAAGGAAAACAUUAGAACAAAGUACUGAGCCUCAGUGAAAUUAUGUGACU
rnacentral:lncRNA from 1 species